GGGCCUGUAGCUCAGCCUGGUAGAGCGACUGGCUCUUAACCAGUUAGUCAGGGGUUCAAAUCCCCUCGGGCCCGC
rnacentral:tRNA from 1 species